UCGUAGAUCAGCAUGCUACGGUGAAUACGUUCCCGGGUCUUGUACACACCGCCCGUCACACCACGAGAGUUUGUAACACCCGAAGCCGGUGGAGUAACCUUUUAGGAGCUAGCCGUCGAAGGUGGGACAAAUGAUUGGGGUGAAGUCGUAACAAGGUAGCCGUAUCGGAAGGUGCGGCUGGAUCACCUCCUUUCUAAGGA
rnacentral:rRNA from 1 species